rnacentral:rRNA from 1 species
UACGUAGGGGGCUAGCGUUGUCCGGAAUCAUUGGGCGUAAAGCGCGUGUAGGCGGUCCGGUAAGUCCGCUGUGAAAGUCGGGGGCUCAACCCUCGGAUGCCGGUGGAUACUGUCGGGCUUGAGUACGGAAGAGGCGAGUGGAAUUCCUGGUGUAGCGGUGAAAUACGCAGAUAUCAGGAGGAACACCAAUUGCGAAGGCAGCUCGCUGGGACGUUAACUGACGCUGAGACGCGAAAGCGUGGGGAGCAAACAGG